UACGAAGGGGGCUAGCGUUGCUCGGAAUCACUGGGCGUAAAGGGUGCGUAGGCGGGUCUUUUAAGUCAGGGGUGAAAUCCUGGAGCUCAACUCCAGAACUGCCUUUGAUACUGAAGAUCUUGAGUUCGGGAGAGGUGAGUGGAACUGCGAGUGUAGAGGUGAAAUUCGUAGAUAUUCGCAAGAACACCAGUGGCGAAGGCGGCUACCUGGCCCAAUACUGACACUCAGGUGCGACAGCGUGGGGAGCAAACAGGG
rnacentral:rRNA from 1 species